rnacentral:lncRNA from 1 species
UUGAACAUGAGGCUUCUGGAGGUGCAGUGGUGUGGAGGUGCAGGCUUCUGGAGUGACAAGGAAGAUCCAGCGGCAGCACUGCCGAGGGCCUCAUGCAUCUUGCUGGUUAUGCCAUCCCCAAGGAGGGAAUACAAUUCAUCCAUGAACAUUAAGCACCUGAGGGCGUUUUCAUUACACUGGAAGAAGUAAAAUGCAGGGUUAAUUGAGCGUUUUAGGUUCACAUUUCUUGGCUUAGAGCUCUUUCACAAAUCCUUGCAGGCUGUGUAACUUGGGGAAAUCAUUUAACCUACCUGUGCCUCAGUUUUCUUAUCUGUAAAAGCGGGAAGUAGUGGUAAUUAUAACGUUGAAAUGAAAUAAUUCACUUGGCAUGCUUAGCACCAUGCAUGGUACAGCAUGGGUGCCCAGUAGAUGUUAGUAUUAAGCAAGUUACUUAACACCUGUGCCUCAGUUUCCUCCUCUGUAGAGUGGUAUUGACAGUAGCUUCUACCUCAGAAGGAUGUUGGUGAAGCUUAAAUGAGUUAGUUUGCAGAAAGCACAUGGCUUGGACCUAGCACACAGCAACCACCGUGUAAGCAGCUGCUGCUGUUUGUGCUACAAGUGUCAGGAAAUGUUCACAUAAUACCAGAUAUCUAGUAGAAUACCCAGGCUGUUCAAAAAUUCACAUCCUCACACACACACACAGGUGAGAAGAUAUGUAUCAAAGUAACCAUCUCUGAGUAGAAAGAGUAUAAGCAAUUUUUGUUUUUUGUACUUUUUUAUAUUCUUCCAACAUUCAUUUUCAACAAUGAAUCCAUUACUGUAAUAAUUUAAAAAGCAAACAGCUAUCCUAGACUUGAAACAUUUUUCAAGUCAGCCCGGCCCAUGGUUAAUCAAAACUGUUGAGUCCCCUGAACUUCCUUCCAGUUAAUGGUUUUUCCCUAUUACAUGGCCCUAGUCUCUGAUCAUUCAUGGGUAGUAGCUUAAUAUUUCUGCACAUUAUGUUCUUCAGAUACUUUCCUUUGGUUGCAUUAGAACUGUGAUUCUGAACUCUCCCCGCAUGCUAGAGUCAUUUGGGAGAUUUUGAAAUAUACUGGCUCCUCAUUAGACCAAUUAAAUCCAAAUAUUUGGAGAUGGGCCCUGAGCUUUGGUAUUUUUUAAAGGCUCACAAGGAAAUCCUAAUGUGUGGCCCAGUAGUGAACAACACCCUGCAUUUGAUACUACCAUUUCCUGCCUUGCAGAGAGUUUCACCCCAUGAACAGGGCUCCCCUCUUCCUCUAGACAAUCUCAAUGUAAGCCCUAGCAGUGUUUCCCAAAAUUGAGGAUAAGAAUCCUCUGAAAUGCUUGUUAAAAAUACAGAUGGAGCCGGGCGCGGUGGCUCACGCCUGUAAUCCCAGCACUUUGGGAGGCCGAGGCGGGCGGAUCACGAGGUCAGGAGAUCGAGACCAUCCCGGCUAAAACAGUGAAACCCCGUCUCUACUAAAAAUACAAAAAAUUAGCCGGGCGUAGUGGCGGGCGCCUGUAGUCCCAGCUACUUGGGAGGCUGAGGCAGGAGAAUGGCGUGAACACGGGAGGCGGAGCUUGCAGUGAGCCGAGAUCCCACCACUGCACUCCAGCCUGGGCGACAGAGCAAGACUCCGUCUCAAAAAAAAAAAAAAAAAAAAAAUACAGAUGGGGCUGGGCGCAGUGGCUCACUCCUCUAAUCCCAGCACUUUGGGAGGCCGAGGUGGGCGGAAGACUUGAGGUCAGGAGUUGGAGACCAGCCUGGCCAGCAUAGUGAAACCUCGUCUCUACUAAAAAUACAAAAAUUAGCCGGGUGUGGUGGCAGGUGCCUGUAAUCCCAGCUACUCGGGAGGCUGAGGCACAAGAAUUGCUUGCACCCAGGAGGCGGAGGUGGCAAUGAGCCGAGAUUGUGCCACUGCACUCCAGCCUGGGCGAAAGCGAGACUCAGUCUCAAAAAAAAAAAAAAAAAAAAAAAUACAGAUGGGCCAGGCAUGGUGCUUCAUGUCUGUAAUCCCAACACAUGAGGAGGCGGAGGUGGGAGGAUUUCUUGAGGCCAGGAGAUCAAGGCCAGACUGGACAACACAGCAAAACCCCAUCUCUACAAAAACAUCUUAAAAAUUAGCAAGACAUGAUGGAGUGCCUGUAGUCAGUCCCAGCUACUUGGGAGGCUGAAGUAGGAGUUUGAGGCUGCAGUGAGCCAUGAUUACACCACUGCACCUAGCCUGGGUGAUAGAGUGAGACCCUGUCUCAAAAAUAAAUAUAUAAAUAA